GCUGAGUGGGGAGGAGAGAGGGACAGAGAGCCUGCUUCUUUAAAGGAGCAAAGCGGGAGAGGAGAGGAGCCGCUUACACGAGUGUAAGCGGCUCCUGUCCGGUUGGUUCCUUUAAAGCAAGCAGGCUCUCUGUCCCUCUCUCCUCCCCACUCAGC